GCAGAUAGCCACCCUUGCCAUCGAGCCGUUCACACAAAAAGGGAUCAAAGAGUAGGACGUUUCCUAUUCUCAAACCUGCCCAUCAUAGGGAGUAAUUAUCAAACAGAGAAACAAAAGGAAAAGAAAAGCAAGAAGUUCCCUUCUUCCACCCGUUUUUUAUUUUCUUUCGCUUAUAUACAUCAGACCAACACACAAGCACUUUAACUAUUAUAAACAUAAUUCCCAAUUCAAGAACACGGUUGAAUAUUAGAGCACCACAUACUACUCUUCGUAAAGUAAAACCGGGCAUGCCAAGUCAUGAUUGUGCUAUUAGUCAGUAGGUACAUUACAAAGCGUGUUCAUGCUAAGAACAUCUGCUAUUAGAUUCUUAUAACCACACUUCAUGUUUCUAUUUUCUAAAUUAAAAUAAGUGAUCUCACUACAGUAAAAAACAAACACAUAUAUAACUGACAUAAUUACCUCGUGAAGCUAUUAGCAGAAUAUUAUGCUAUCCUAAUCAUAUUGCCAAAUCACAAUUGACCGAUUCUAGUCUAGGCUUUAAAUUUGAAAAGGGAGAACAACUCACCAUGGUCUUUGAUUUCUUCUUGGACCCAUGUUUCCUAUCACCAGUCCCCUCCCCGCCGCCUGAAUCCUCAUUGAUCUAUGCAAAUUUUCAAACGAAAGCAUCCAAAUAACCAAUAUGUAUAUUCAAAAUAGAAAAAUCAAAUUAAUAAAAGCUAUCUAAUUGAUGGAAGGAUCUUCAUUUUAUAAUGGAAUUAACUCUAUCAGGCAAACUGUGAUGUUUUGGCAUCCACGAUCAAAACAUCAAUAUAAAAUUCAAAUAUUUAGACAUGACAAUGAGUCAUGAUGUCAAAAAAAACAGAGUUUUUCUCAUUUAUGUGGGACAAAAUACAUAGUUGAUAUGCUUAAUAAUAAGUUAACAAAGAUGGCACCCAAUGAC
rnacentral:lncRNA from 1 species